UGAUAAAGAUUUUGACCGUCUGGACAAACUUCUUGUUAUUGUUAGAAAAGUGGAUGAAAUGUCUAAUAGUGGUGGUGGCCAUAGCAACUUAGGUUCUUCUUCUUCAUCUAUCUCUCAACAAGAUAUAGGAGAUAAAUCUCAAAACCCACAAGGGCCUCAGCCUGGUGAUUGGGAUGAUCCCAUUGCAUUCCAGCUGGAAGAACUAUUGUUCUCUAAUAUACGAACAAUUUUCCAGAAUGCAAUUAAGCAGCUUUGUGAAAGUGGUUAUAGUGAAGAUAUUGCUCAAAAGGCCAUUUCGAGAAUGGGAUUGUACCAGGGUGGAACAGACCUUGUGGCAAACAUAGUGAAUGAUGCUGUGACCUUAUUGAAGAGAGGGAAGGACAUUGACAAUUCAAAGAAUAUUGUUUUUGAGAAUUUGCAGGAGAUGGUGGAGUACACGAUGUUAGAGCUGGUUAAUGUGCUUAGAGAAGUUAAGUCAUCAUUAUCCACUGGGGAAGCAAUGUGGUGGUUAUUAGUAUGUGAUAUGAACAUUUCACAGGCAUGUGCUGUGGAAGGAGAUCUACUCAAUGAAUUUGGUGGUAAAAAAUUCCCAGGAGAGAGCUCUUCUGAUUCUAGUCUUCCCAAAUCAGGGUUGGAGGCCCAAUGCUCUAGACCUAUUCCUUCAAAUACCAAAAAGGAGAAUUUUCUUUCUACGCCAGCAAGUUUUGAGACAUCCUCAGUCCAGCCUAAGUCCCAAACAUCUGCUUUUGAAGGAAAAUCAAAGAAGGGACGCAAGUCACUCAACAAGAAAGAACUUGCAGCUGGGAAGAAAACCAUAAAUUCGGAGAGGGUUCUGAUGAACCAUGGUAAAUCAGGUUCUCAAUCGGGAAAUAUUACUAGUUUUGGUAGUUCUAAUGUGGAAAAGAGAAUGAAGUCUCCUUUUGAAUCACAUGGUGUGAAAACAAAAAAUUCUGCUUCCAAUACAAAAGCCAAAGUUCAAGCCCCUAUGACAGAUGGAAGUUCUCAGGUUCCUAGCAAUAGUCCAUCUGUUGUAUCUGCAUCAGGUGACUCUUCAAAAGUACAUAUGAUGGGGACAAUAUCUGCAUCGGCUGCAACAAAUACUGAACUUACAGUUUCGGGAAAGAAGCCUCCAUUGCAGCCUGAGACCAGCAACUUUGAGUAUCCAAAAAUAGCUGAUUACUAUGCUAGAAUUCCAUAUGAUGAGUCUCUGGGGAAGUAUGUUCCACAAUAUGAGAAAGAUGAAUUGAUUCUAAGAUUGGUUCCUAAGGUGCAGGAACUACAGAAAGAACUACAAAGUUGGACAGAUUGGGCCAAUCAGAAAGUUAUGCAGGCUGCUCGUAGGCUUAGCCAAGACAAGCCUGAGCUUGAGGCAUUAAAAUUGGAGAAGCAAGAGGCAGAACAAUUCAAGAAAGAGAAGAAAAUGUUAGAGGAGAAUGCCAUGAAAAGGCUAUCAGAAAUGGAGCUUGCCUUGAUUAAUGCUACUGGCCAGAUUGAGAUGGCUAAUUCUACUAUUCGCAAACUUGAGGUGGAGAAUUCUCUGCUAAAGGAUGAGUUGGACAUUGCAAACUUGCAGGCUGUGGAGUCAGCUGUAAAUUGUGAGGCAGCAUUGGAGAGGGAGCAUAAGGCCCUAAAGAAUGCUCAAUCAUGGAAGGGGCAGAAAAGCUUGUUGCUGGAGGAGCUAGAGACUCACAAACAGAAGGUGGUCAAACUGCAACAAGACAUAGGAAAGGCAGAAAAGAUCAAGAACCAAAUUGAGGCUAGAUGGGAACAGCAGAGAUUGCUGAAGGAAAAAUUGCUUGCAGAGGCUGUCUCAAUAAAAGAUGAACGAGAACAACUUGAAGCUGCAGCAAAAGCAGAGGAGGAUAUGGUCAGACAAAAAGCAGAAAAUGAUUUGAAGAAAUAUAUGGAAGACAUCAGCAAGCUUGAGAAACAAAUAUCUGAAUUGAAUUUGAAGACUGAUGCUUCAAAAAUAGCUGCUCUGAGAUGGAGCAUUGACGGAAACAAGUGCCAAGCGGAUGACCUCACUAUAAAGGGAAGUCAAGACUCUAAUAUCUUCAAUAAGGAAGUGAAAAUCCAGGGAACUUUUGGAAGUGGAGGUCUGAAACGGGAUAGGGAAUGUGUGAUGUGCUUAUCUGAAGAGAAGUCUGUGGUUUUCCUCCCUUGUGCACAUCAGGUCCUCUGUAAAGAAUGCAAUGAGCUCCACAAGAAAGAGGGAAUGAAGGACUGCCCAUCUUGUAGGAGUCCUAUCCAGCAACGCAUUCCAGCCCGCUUUGCUCAUCCAUGAGCCCAAUAUACUUUUUUGACGGAAUAAAACCUGGUUAGAGGAAGUGAUGUUGAUCACUGAGAGGAAGUUAUGUUGAGCUUCACUCAAAACAAUCCUGUUAAAAAA
rnacentral:misc_RNA from 1 species